rnacentral:rRNA from 1 species
UCAGACGAUGCGUCAUGCAUAUCAAUAAGCGGAGGAAAAGAAACUAACAAGGAUUCCCCUAGUAACGGCGAGUGAAGCGGGAAGAGCUCAAAUUUGAAAUCUUCAAGGUUUGACCUUGACGAAUUGUAGUUUAAAGAAGUGUUUUCGGUUAGAGGAGUGGUAAAAGUUCUUUGGAAUAGGACAUCAUAGAGGGUGAGAAUCCCGUAUUUGACCAUUCUUUCUAGCUUUGUGAUACACUUUCAAAGAGUCGGAUUGUUUGGGAAUGCAGUCCAAAAUGGGUGGUAAAUUUCAUCUAAAGCUAAAUAUUGGCGAGAGACCGAUAGCGAACAAGUACCGUGAGGGAAAGAUGAAAAGAACUUUGAAAAGAGAGUUAAACAGUACGUGAAAUUGCCAAAAGGGAAGCGUUUGACACCAGUGUUGUUUUCUCGAAAAUCAAUUAAAAAGAGUUGGAUUUUGUGUUGUAUUGACCUUAACAGCUUGCUUCACUCUUUUCCUGCUUUUUUUAAUGCACUUUUCGUUUAACAAGUCAACAUCAGUUUCUUUUGUUGUAAAAGGGUCAUUGGAAGGUGGCUUUCUCUUCGGAGAAAGUGUUUAUAGCCUUUGAUCUCUGCAAUCGGAGAGACUGAGGUCUGCAGCGUAGAUCCUUCGGGGUUAGAUACAUUUGUGCUAAGCUACAGCUUUUCAUAGACAACUUGUUGACUAUGUUUAGUCUUGUAACUUACCCGCUUAUGCUAUUUUACCUACGCUUAGGAUGUUGAUAUGCAUGACUGAUAU